rnacentral:rRNA from 1 species
UUUCCUACGGGAGGCAGCAGUCGGGAAUUUUGGGCAAUGGGCGAAAGCCUGACCCAGCAACGCCGCGUGAAGGAUGAAAUCCCUCGGGAUGUAAACUUCGCAAGAACGGGAAGAAUAAGCCGGUGUUAACACCACCGGUGAUGACGGUACUGUUUGUAAGCUCCGGCUAACUCCGUGCCAGCAGCCGCGGUAAUACGGGGGGAGCAAGCGUUGUUCGGAUUUACUGGGCGUAAAGGGCGGGUAGGCGGCCACUGUAAGUCGGUUGUGAAAUCUCCGGGCUUAACCCGGAAAGGUCAGCCGAUACUGCAGGGCUAGAGUGCGGAAGGGGCAACUGGAAUUCUCGGUGUAGCGGUGAAAUGCGUAGAUAUCGAGAGGAACACCUGCGGCGAAGGCGGGUUGCUGGGCCGACACUGACGCUGAACUGCGAAAGCUAGGGGAGCGAACGGGAUUAGAUACCCCGGUAGUCCUAGCCUUAAACGAUGAAUGCUUGGUGUUUGGGGUUUUAUAGUCCCCGGGUGCCGUCGCUAACGCUUUAAGCAUUCCGCCUGGGGAGUACGGUCGCAAGACUGAAACUCAAAGGAAUUGACGGGGACCCGCACAAGCGGUGGAGCAUGUGGUUUAAUUCGACGCAACGCGAAGAACCUUACCUAGGCUGGACAUGCACGUAGUAGAAGGAUGAAAGUCUAACGAGGUAGCAAUACCAGCGUGCUCAGGUGCUGCAUGGCUGUCGUCAGCUCGUGCCGUGAGGUGUUGGGUUAAGUCCCGCAACGAGCGCAACCCCUGUCUUCAGUUACCAACGGGUCAUGCCGGGAACUCUGGAGAGACUGCCCAGGAGAACGGGGAGGAAGGUGGGGAUGACGUCAAGUCAGCAUGGCCUUUAUGCCUAGGGCUACACACGUGCUACAAUGGCCGGCACAAAGCGCUGCAAACCCGUAAGGGGGAGCCAAUCGCAAAAAGCCGGUCGUAGUCCGGAUUGCAGUCUGCAACUCGACUGCAUGAAGUCGGAAUCGCUAGUAAUCGCGGAUCAGCUUGCCGCGGUGAAUACGUUCCCGGGCCUUGUACACACCGCCA